AGCACGCGUGGCCAAUUCGUAGGCAUCUGUCUUAGAAACAGAAAAGUGAGAGUUUGAAUCUCUCCGCGUUUA
rnacentral:tRNA from 1 species